rnacentral:misc_RNA from 1 species
GAUGAAGAACGCAGUGAAAUGCGAUAAGUAAUGUGAAUUGCAGAAUCUCGUGAAUCAUCGAAUCUUUGAACGCACAUUGCGCCCUAUGGUAUUCCGUAGGGCAUGCCUGUCUGAGCGUCAACUCCCACCCUCUCAAGUCUUCUUUUUUUGUUAAGGAGAUUUGGAUUACUUUGAGGAAGUAUCGUUUUUUUUUUAUAAUGCUACUCCUCAGAAAUUCAUAGGCAGUAUGGUCAAACCUGAACCAGGCGUAAUAAUUCUAUAAAAAUCGUCUACGAAGGAAUGUCUGUAUUAGCCUUUAACCCCCCCUAAUUUAUUUUACUUGGGUGACCUCAGAUCAGGUAGGGAUACCCGCUGAACUUAAGCAUAUCAAUAAGCGGAGGA